rnacentral:rRNA from 1 species
UGUCCUAAUGUUUAUAAUUAUAUUAGGUCUAACCUGCUCAAUGAUAAUUUAAAUAGCCGCAGUAUUUUGACUGUGCGAAGGUAGCAUAAUCAUUUGUCUUUUAAUUGAAGGCUUGUAUGAAAGGUUGGAUGAGGGAACAGCUUUCUUUAUAUUAAAUGUUGAAUUUAAUUUUUAGGUUAAAAAGCUUAGAUUUUUAAAAGGGACGAGAAGACCCUAUAGAAUUUUAUUAUUAUUAUAAUAUUUGUAUAUUGGUUAAUAUAAUAUUGAUAUUAUAUAUAUAAUUUUGUUGGGGUGAUAGUGAGAUUUUUUUAACUCUUAUAUUAUAUUUAUUGUUAAUUAGCAUAUUAAUGAUCCUAUUUUAUGGAUAAUUAGAUUAAAUUACCUUAGGGAUAACAGCGUAA